rnacentral:snRNA from 1 species
CUACUUACCUGGCAAGAGAGAUACUCUGAUCACAAAGGUGGUUUCCCCAGGGUGAGACUUAUCCAUGGCACAUCUGUGGAUGUGCUGACCUCUGGGAUUUCCACAAAUGUGGGAAUCUUGACUGCAUUAAAAAAUAAAGAAAAGGAAAAAGAUAUUGUUACUUUCUCCUAUA